AUUGAACGCUGGCGGCAGGCUCAACACAUGCAAGUCGAGCGGGGUGAUGGUGCUUGCACUAUCACUUAGCGGCGGACGGGUGAGUAAUGCUUAGGAAUCUGCCUAUUAGUGGGGGACAACAUCUCGAAAGGGAUGCUAAUACCGCAUACGUCCUACGGGAGAAAGCAGGGGAUCACUUGUGACCUUGCGCUAAUGGAUGAGCCUAAGUCGGAUUAGCUAGUUGGUGGGGUAAAGGCCUACCAAGGCGACGAUCUGUAGCGGGUCUGAGAGGAUGAUCCGCCACACUGGGACUGAGACACGGCCCAGACUCCUACGGGAGGCAGCAGUGGGGAAUAUUGGACAAUGGGGGGAACCCUGAUCCAGCCAUGCCGCGUGUGUGAAGAAGGCCUUAUGGUUGUAAAGCACUUUAAGCGAGGAGGAGGCUCUUUUGGUUAAUACCCAAGAUGAGUGGACGUUACUCGCAGAAUAAGCACCGGCUAACUCUGUGCCAGCAGCCGCGGUAA
rnacentral:rRNA from 1 species